UACGAAGGGGGCUAGCGUUGCUCGGAAUCACUGGGCGUAAAGCGCACGUAGGCGGAUUGUUAAGUCAGGGGUGAAAUCCUGGAGCUCAACUCCAGAACUGCCUUUGAUACUGGCGAUCUUGAGUCCGGGAGAGGUGAGUGGAACUCCGAGUGUAGAGGUGAAAUUCGUAGAUAUUCGGAAGAAUACCAGUGGCGAAGGCGGCUCACUGGCCCGGUACUGACGCUGAUGUGCGAAAGCGUGGGGAG
rnacentral:rRNA from 1 species